GAGACCGGUUACAGUACUAGACGCUGAUACAGCCGUAAUAAAGUUGAAUAUCGCGUGCGCUCUUUGAUCGCGUUCGAGCUCGAAAAAUUCGAUGCAACAAGAUUGGAAGAGGCCAGAAUAUUAUAAGAAAAUAUAUAAUAUGAUAGUAAUGACUCACCUCGCAGCCGUAUUAUGUGCCAUGUAAAGUUUUUUAACUGUUUCAUCUUCUGUAUCGUUGACUAUUCUUAUAAAAGCACUGGAUAAGCUAGGGAGCAUAUUAACUGUAGGGUCUUCUAGGGAUAUGUUGAGUUUUUGUUGGAUCUCUGCAACCUCUGAGAUAGAGUUCAACCAGUAAAGAUCCGAAAUGUCA